rnacentral:rRNA from 1 species
CGUACACUCCUGCGGGAGGCAGCAGUGGGGAAUAUUGGACAAUGGGCGCAAGCCUGAUCCAGCCAUGCCGCGUGAGUGAUGAAGGCCCUAGGGUUGUAAAGCUCUUUCACCGGUGAAGAUAAUGACGGUAACCGGAGAAGAAGCCCCGGCUAACUUCGUGCCAGCAGCCGCGGUAAUACGAAGGGGGCUAGCGUUGUUCGGAUUUACUGGGCGUAAAGCGCACGUAGGCGGACUAUUAAGUCAGGGGUGAAAUCCCGGGGCUCAACCCCGGAACUGCCUUUGAUACUGGUAGUCUUGAGUUCGAGAGAGGUGAGUGGAAUUCCGAGUGUAGAGGUGAAAUUCGUAGAUAUUCGGAGGAACACCAGUGGCGAAGGCGGCUCACUGGCUCGAUACUGACGCUGAGGUGCGAAAGCGUGGGGAGCAAACAGGAUUAGAUACCCCUGUAGUCCCAUGA